rnacentral:rRNA from 1 species
CGCAUGACUCUUGGCAACGGAUAUCUAGGCUCUCGCGUCGAUGAAGAACGUAGCGAAAUGCGAUACUUGGUGUGAAUUGCAGAAUCCCGUGAACCAUCGAGUCUUUGAACGCAAGUUGCGCCCGAGGCCAUCAGGUCAAGGGCACGUCUGCCUGGGCGUCACG